rnacentral:lncRNA from 1 species
GCAGCCGCAGCCCCUGGCGCUAACGGUCGGUAACGGCCCGCGCGCGCCGCCCGCCGGGGGCUCGCGCCAGCCACGAGGGAGCGUCCGCGGCCCGCGCGCCCGCGCGGCGGAGGAGAGGUGUUAAGUGUGAUGCUUCCAUAAUACAUUUGGAUGCUGUCAGCUAAGUUCACUUCUGAACUAAGGGGUUCCUCCAAAUGUUGGCUGAAAUUCAUCCCAAGGCUGGUCUGCAAAGUCUGCAAUUCAUAAUGGAGCUACUGUACUGGCUAUUGGAAGGAGGAGAUUCUGAAGAUAAGGAGGUAAAACCUGUUUAGAAAUUAAAAAUGAGUUACGAUUUAAAGAAAAUUCAGAUGACUCAUUGUGAGUGCUAGUUCUCUUGUAGGAUGCCACUGGAAAUGUUGAAAUGAAAAAUAUUCAGCCGUUGGUCUUUGAAAUUUCCUGUGAUGUGUUUCAAUCUAGAUGCAAAGAACAUGGAAAAAUCAAAGUGCUCGAGUGGUUUAAAUAUGUUUUGGGUAUUCCUGUUUAUAGACUAUAAUACUUUUCCAAUUAAAAUCCUCAGUUGUCACGCAGAAGAAGGUUAAGCUGUAUUUGAUUGCCAGUUUUACUGAAAAUGCUUAGUAUUUUACAGUAUCACCAAAUAUAUUUUGUUUAGCCAAGGUAUAGGAAAAAUAAAAUAAAUUGUAUAGGUUGACUUUUUUCUAAAAUGUCUUUAUUGGAUUGAAUGAAUGUUUAUACCUGAAAAAAAAAGGUUC